rnacentral:rRNA from 1 species
GUAGGUGGCAAGCGUUGUCCGGAAUUAUUGGGGCGUAAAGCGCGCGCAGGCGGUCCUUUAAGUCUGAUGUGAAAGCCCACGGGCUCAACCGUGGAGGUCAUUGGAAACUGGGGGACUUGAGUGCAGAAGAGAAGAGUGGAAUUCCACGUGUAGCGGUGAAAUGCGUAGAGAUGUGGAGGAACACCAGUGGCGAAGGCGACUCUUUGGUCUGUAACUGACGCUGAGGCGCGAAAGCGUGGGGAGCAAACAGGAUUAGAUACCCUGGUAGUCCACGCCGUAAACGAUGAGUGCUAAGUGUUAGAGGGUUUCCGCCCUUUAGUGCUGCAGCAAACGCAUUAAGCACUCCGCCUGGGGAGUACGGCCGCAAAGGCUG